rnacentral:tRNA from 1 species
GGAAAUAGAUUUGUUUAUAGAUUUGAGCUACUAACUCUAAAUUUUAUUGGUUAGAUUCCAAUAAUAUUUCUU